UUGACUCUCAUACAAAAUAUUUUUAAUUCAGGAGGAAAGGAAGAAACAAGAAAUGAAGACUCAAGUCUUGUUGGUGUGUCUAAAAUGAACUAAUGGUCUUUCCUUCCCUUUUAUAAACAAAAAAGUCUUGGCCUCUUAGGGGUAAAAGAAGAGAUACAACUUGUGCAAAUAAUGUCCACCACACAAUGCAAUAUUUUUGGGUCCCAAAAAAUAUUGCCAACAAAAUCUACACUUUGAAAAAAUACUUAUACUUAUGUGAUAUAAACUCCAUUAGCCAAAAUAUUGGUCAUGUUACAAGAACAAAGGAGAGCACUAACUUAGUGGGGCAUCGAUUGGCGGCCAAGAGUUCCCUAAAAAUGGAUCCAAAAGUAAGUAUUUAUAGGCGAAAGUAUUAGGUUUCUUGACCUGGGCGGGAGUUUUAGGAAUCACUAGCCGUUUGAAUUUCAAAAGCUGUUUGAGAAAUUCAGAUGAGAGAAAAAAGAAAGUAUCCGUUCAACGGAUCCGAAUCCUUGAUACAGAGGCCGCAUCUGACCUUCUGAAAAAGACUCUUGGCUUCUUGUGUUGACCGAAUCUACAUGGCAGAUGUGAUUCUGAAAGUUAAGACAUUAAAGCAAGGAAUUUCACAAAAAUGUAAGGGACAAAGUCUGCCCAUGGAAAGAAAAGGAGAUGGAACUUUGUCAAAUAAAAUAAAAUAAGAGAGAAAGGGGCGUCAUCUACUGAUGAGGUAUUAUGGGGUUUGGUUCUUUUGUUUUGCGUUGCAAAGGCUAGAACGAAAUUGGACUGAAGGAUUGGUAAUUGGGCCUUGUAGCAAAAUGGACAGCUAAGCUUUAAUGGUUCAGGCCUUUAAUUAGGCCGAAUUGCUGGGCCUUUUCCUUCUUUCUUGUAUCGUUUCUUUUAGGCUUUUUUUUUUUGUGCAUUCUUUUAGGCUUUUUUUUUUUUGGUGCAUUCUUUUAGGCUUCUAGUAAAUGAUUAAGCUAAUUCCAUAACAUAUAAUACUAAUAUUAAUAUUAAUUGUAUGGUUAAAUUAUGAGAUAUGCCUUAACAAAGUUAUAACUGAUAGUAUUUAAAAUAAUUAUGAGGUAUUGCAAAACAACUAUUAUAGUAAUUGUUAAAUAAGAUGCUAUCAUAUUUGUGAACUGUAGAGUCAAAGAAAUAUUACUAUUUGAUUAAACAAAGAGAAGUGAUACACUUUUCGCAAAAGACAAUAAGAAUGAUAUUAUAAUAAUAAUAAUAAUAAUAAUAAUAAUAAUAAUAAUAAUAAUAAUAAUAAUAAAGAUAUUGGUAAUAUAGAAGCUUAAAGAAAUAGUUUGGAAGAAAGGAGAGAUAAAAUUGGAUGUCAACAAUGUACACGGCCUUGUAUGUGGAAAUUUGACUGGUUUAGGCUCUCAGGUUUCUUAUAUCCAUUAAAUUGAAGUUGUUCCAUUAUGUUAUAUCCUCCAUUGUUAAAUUACUCUUAUAUGCUUUAUUUGAAGUUGUUGGUUCAUGUUCUAUCUUCUAUUGCCAAAUUUACUCAUACAUGCUUUAAUUGUAAUUGUUGCCUCUUUAUUGUCAUGUUAUCUCUUUCAUAAUUGAGUUAUUCUUAUUUGAAGUUAUAGUUACACGUUAUCUCAUCCGUAGUUGAUUAUCCUUAUUUGAAGUUAUCGUUACAUGUUAUCUCCUCCGUAGUUGAUUGUCCUUAUUUGAAGUUAUUGUUACAUGUUAUCUCUUCAGUAGUUAGUUAUCUUUAUUUGAUGUCGAUGUUACAUAUUAUCUCUCUUAUUGUUGAACUAAUAUUAUUUGAAGUCAUUAUUACUUGUUAUGUAUUUUAUUGUUGAGCUUAUUCUUCCGUUUCAUUGUAUUGUUGUGAUUCUUGUGUUGAUUUACUUGUCGUACCCUCGUGUUCUUGUUGUUCUUGUUGUACUCGGUGUUGUUGAGCCGUGAGCUAUGUGUGGUUGUGGUAUUGAAAUUGUUGUUGUGGAAACAUUGUGUAAGCACAUGUGGUGCGGGUUGUUAUAUUAUAUUAUUAUAUUUUUGGCACAUGUGGUAUUGUUGAGAGGAUUGUCGGGGUGUUCGUACGUGAGUUAUCCGUGCUAUUAUUGUUAUUGAUAUUUGCACAUGUGGUAUGACAAUGCGGGUUAUAUAUGUUGUGUUUGCGCAUGUGGCGAGACAAGGUGGGAUAAUUAUUACGCGUGUAUGGCGAGACAAGGCAUGAGUCGUCUGUGCAGCACGUGAGUUAUCCGUGCGAUUGUGAUUGGUAACGUGGGCACAAGAUGCCAAGUGAUUAGGGUUCGUGAUUUGGGACCCGUAAUUUGUGAUUGUGAGGUGUGAUACCUUAGGGUAAUUCUUGUAUAAACCUUGUGUGAGAGCGGUUGAUUAUUGGGUUGAUACUUCUUUUUCCUUACUGGUUUCACUUGACUUAAACUAUAUUCGGCUUACUUUACGGUGUUAUUACCUGUUUGCUCCUUGUUGUUAAUUGUUGCAUCUAGUCUCUAUUUUCAAGUACUGCAUUGUUAUUCUUACCAUGUUUAGCUUUAUAUUGAUAUUGUUCCCUGUUAGUUUUAUAUUCAUAUUUGUACAGGUUAUUAUGUCUAGUAGGUGUAUUGACUGUUUCUCGUCACUACUCCACUGAGGUUAGUCUUGAUACUUACUGUGUACUGCUGUGGUGUACUCAUGUUACACUUGCUGUAUAUUUUUUUGCAAAUCCAGGUAUCUCGAAGCAUGUUGGUC
rnacentral:lncRNA from 1 species